CUUGCUUCUCUUGAGAGCGGCGGACGGGUGAGUAAUGCCUAGGAAUCUGCCUGGUAGUGGGGGAUAACGUUCGGAAACGGACGCUAAUACCGCAUACGUCCUACGGGAGAAAGCAGGGGACCUUCGGGCCUUGCGCUAUCAGAUGAGCCUAGGUCGGAUUAGCUAGUUGGUGGGGUAAUGGCACACCAAGGCGACGAUCCGUAACUGGUCUGAGAGGAUGAUCAGUCGCACUGGAACUGAGACACGGUCCAGACUCCUACGGGAGGCAGCAGUGGGGAAUAUUGGACAAUGGGCGAAAGCCUGAUCCAGCCAUGCCGCGUGUGUGAAGAAGGUCUUCGGAUUGUAAAGCACUUUAAGUUGGGAGGAAGGGUUGUAGAUUAAUACUCUGCAAUUUUGACGUUACCGACAGAAUAAGCACCGGCUAACUCUGUGCCAGCAGCCGCGGUAAUACAGAGGGUGCAAGCGUUAAUCGGAAUUACUGGGCGUAAAGCGCGCGUAGGUGGUUAGUUAAGUUGGAUGUGAAAUCCCCGGGCUCAACCUGGGAACUGCA
rnacentral:rRNA from 1 species